GGCCAGUUAGCUUAGUUGGUUAGAAUGUGGUGCUUAUAAUGCCAAGGUUGUAGGUUCGAUCCCUAUACAGGCCA